CAAGUACAGUGCUGAUGAGCAAACGUUGCAACAAAUCUGGUUAAAACCCUAUUGGAAACAUGAUUUCAGAGAUGCCACAUCAGGUUAAUGCAACAAUGGAAACAUAAGUCACAGAUUUCACAUCACGUACUGUACAGUGUGAUGAGCUGAAUAAGUCAUCUUUUUGAAUUGCCAAUAAUGUUCUUAUCACUCAUUAUUUGAGGUAACAAUGGUGUUUAUGAGACUUAAUUGAUACCACUCAGUUUAAUAUUAUUUUGGAAACCUGAAAUCUGCGUUUUAAUAUCAGGGAACAACUGUGUUAAUGAGUCUUCAUUGCUGCUACACAGGAUAAAAUAUAAUAUUAAAAAAAACAUUCAGAAAUUUCCAAUUCAGAGGCAACCCCAGUGUUGAUGAACCUACAAUUCUCCCACUCGGGGUAAUACAAUCCUUGAAAAAUAAAUCCAGUGAUUUCACGUCAGGCAACAUCAGUGUUAAUGAGACUUCAUUUCUCCCAGUCAGGUUAACACAGUGUUGGAAGCAUGAAUUCAGAGAUUUUGCCUCAGGCAACAUCAGUGUGGAUGAGCCUUCGAUCCUUCCAGUUAUGUUAAUGCAAUAUUUGGAACAUGAAUUCGAUAUCACAUCAGGUUUUAUACAGUGUGGUAGCAUGAAAAUUAUUGUUGCAUCUAGACUGUUGCUAGGCAAUGACCGCAAAACACCAAUACAACAGCCGUUGUGAGGCAGCAGACUGCGCUCAACAUUGGAAGUAAUGUUGGAAGUAGUUUUCCUAUGCGGCCCGCUCCCCGGCUAUAUCACACAACUGAGUUCAGUUCUUUAAAUGCCGGACUUGGAAAUAGUGGUAAGCUUGAGGUGGCCGGAGUUUAUUUAAAUGCCCUCUGCUGGUGCUCGUUUAAAUACCCGUUGCUA